rnacentral:lncRNA from 1 species
UGAGCCACCGCGCCCGUCUGAAAGCAUAUUCUUUUAAGGUUUUGUUAUUGUUUUUCCAUGUAGCACUGACAGAUUUGUACUAAUUCUUUGCUUCUCUGGUUGCUAGAUAGCUUUAGAAUUGUCAGCUGAGGCUCUUGAAGAGCAAAACUAAACUACCUUAGUUGGCUUAGAUAGGGAAAUAAUCUGACUUUUAGGAUUAUUUGCAGUAUAAAUGAUUUCAAACACUAAAGGUUGACAAAGAAGCAUUUAUAGUUCACUGAGAAGGCUAUCUUAUUUCAGAUUCCA